UACGUAGGGUGCGAGCGUUAAUCGGAAUUACUGGGCGUAAAGCGUGCGUAGGUGGUUCGGUAAGUCAGAUGUGAAAGCCCUGGGCUUAACCUGGGAAUUGCGUUUGAUACUGUCGGACUAGAGUUUGGCAGAGGGGGGUAGAAUUCCACGUGUAGCAGUGAAAUGCGUAGAUAUGUGGAGGAACACCGAUGGCGAAGGCAGCUCCCUGGACCUGUACUGACGCUCAUGCACGAAAGCGUGGGGAGCAAACAGG
rnacentral:rRNA from 1 species